rnacentral:rRNA from 1 species
UACAGAGGUCUCAAGCGUUGUUCGGAUUCAUUGGGCGUAAAGGGUGCGUAGGCGGCGCGGUAAGUCGGGCGUGAAAUCUCGGAGCUUAACUCCGAAACUGCAUUCGAUACUGCCGUGCUUGAGUACUGGAGAGGAGACUGGAAUUUACGGUGUAGCGGUGAAAUGCGUAGAUAUCGUAAGGAAGACCAGUGGCGAAGGCGGGUCUCUGGACAGUUCCUGACACUGAGGCACGAAGGCCAGGGGAGCAAACGGG